rnacentral:rRNA from 1 species
AACGAACGCUGGCGGCAGGCCUAACACAUGCAAGUCGAGCGAGCAUUUCGGUGCUAGCGGCGGACGGGUGAGUAACGCGUGGGAACGUGCCCUUUUCUGCGGAAUAGUCCUGGGAAACUGGGGGUAAUACCGCAUACGCCCUUUUGGGGAAAGAUUUAUCGGAGAAGGAUCGGCCCGCGUUGGAUUAGGUAGUUGGUGGGGUAAUGGCCCACCAAGCCGACGAUCCAUAGCUGGUUUGAGAGGAUGAUCAGCCACACUGGGACUGAGACACGGCCCAGACUCCUACGGGAGGCAGCAGUGGGGAAUCUGAGACAAUGGGGGCAACCCUGAUCUAGCCAGGCCGCGUGAGUGAUGAAGGCCUUAGGGUUGUAAAGCUCUUUCAGCGGGGAAGAUAAUGACGGUACCAGCAGAAGAAGCCCCGGCUAACUCCGU